GGGGAUUCAUCUAUUGGCACUAAAUAUGGCACAGGGCCCAAGAGAUGUGCUUGGAGUCAAGAUGGCUAAAGAAAGCAGCUGCAGACGCAUACGUACUGGUGAACACAUUAUUUGGCUGCCAUCGGGUCUGAGCUGCUGAGAGGACAGCUUUGAAGCACUGAUCGGUGGAAGAAGCCACACCUGGUGGGAUUGGCCCAUACAAACUACAGUGGGUCCAUGAGGCGCAGAGUGUCUCUGAUCACAGCCACUUUCACUUCUUCAUCAACGAGGCUGGGGACAUUUUCAAACACCCCUGGAGAAAGCUUGAAUGGGUCAGUGGAACACUCACAUAAUUAACUAUCUGGGCACUAGACCAGUCCAGAUAGUCGGUCUGGACCUGUGGAUCUGCAUAAUUCAUCCUCGCUCCAUUACCCCGGAUGCUGGUGAGGUGCUUCCUGCAGCUAUGGAGAGCGGAUGGACUGAAAUGGCAGGAGAGGAGGUUUUCACAAGCAGAGAGAAGCUGGAGGAAAUGUAAGGGUGGAUUUGAAAGAGGAGCCACGCUCUCUGCAGCUUCUGGUGUGAAAGUUCCCCUCUGAAAUCUGAGGGCAGUGCCCGGCAGGCUGAGUUGGUGGGUGCCCCAGUGAGGGACUCCUUUCAGCCCUCCGCCUUUGCUGUGUAAGCCCAACCCAGGACAUCUGCACUCUGGCUUGCGCUUAUCUCUUUGACCAGCCUAUAUUUCUAAAUGAAGCUUUUGCCAAUUCCUUGGGCACUAUCAGUUUUUCCAGGCUUGUAAAAGAUCUUUAACAAUGGAGAAAUACUUAAAGCCUUAACAAUGGUCCACAUCAAUUGUUUCCCCUUGUCAGCAGGAUCCGAGAAUGGAACUUCACAAGAGAUCAAUGCAAGCCUCCCAGGGCCUUCCACUGAGGCUUUCUUGCAACUGUGACCUUGACGUUUAUGUAGUUAUUUAAUAUUCAACCAAAGCAUUCGUACACUUGGCCCUUUACAGUAAAUAUAAGUAUGCUGGACAAAUGGUAGUUAUGGAUCAGGAAGUGAAAAAUGUCAAGUUUGCACUGAUAGGAAAUUUUUCCCUCUGGAAAGCUUUUGCUAUGCCAAAGACACUAACGGUUCAAUAUAUUAUCCAGAGCAAUAUUUUCUCCUUUGAAUUCCAUGUGUAUGCCUUAAAUAAAUUAAACUACCUAGUCAA